GCCGGGGUAGGGUAGUGGUCAUCCUGUGGCCCUGUGGAGGCCACGAGCCGGGUUCAAUUCUCGGUCCCGGCCC
rnacentral:tRNA from 1 species